UACGUAGGGCGCGAGCGUUAUCCGGAAUUAUUGGGCGUAAAGAGCUUGUAGGCGGUUUGUCGCGUCUGCCGUGAAAAUCCGGGGCUCAACCCCGGACUUGCGGUGGGUACGGGCAGACUAGAGUGUGGUAGGGGAGACUGGAAUUCCUGGUGUAGCGGUGAAAUGCGCAGAUAUCAGGAGGAACACCGAUGGCGAAGGCAGGUCUCUGGGCCACUACUGACGCUGAGAAGCGAAAGCGUGGGGAGCGAACAGG
rnacentral:rRNA from 1 species